GUGAUACAUGAAAUUGGUGAUUGUAUCUUGAGCAAAUGUAAAGUAAUUGAAUUCCUGAAGAAGUGGAGGAGAUAGGGAAGAGGAAAGGAGGAGGAGGAAGAGGAGGAGAUGGAAGAGGAGGAGAUGUAGAGGUAGCGAUUUUAGGGAUGGAGGAGAUAAGAAGGAGAGAAGAGACAGGGCAUGGAAAAAGGGGGGGAGGAGGAGGAAAAGAAUGAGGAAGAAGAGGAGGAGGAGGAGGAGGAGGAGGAAGGACGAGAAGGAACAGGGCGUGGUAGUAAUAAAGGAGGAAAAGAGGAGGAAGCGGAGGAUGACGAAGUGUGGAGUUUGCAACAUAAUGGACAGAAGAGCUAGGAGAGAGAAGUGGAGCAGAUCGUGGUAGUGGAGGAGGAGGAGGAGGUGGUGGUGGAGACGUAGCGAUAUAGAGAACAGAGGAGCUAGGAAAAAGUGGAACAGGGCGUGGUGGCAGCAGUGGUGGUGUUGGCGGUGGGUGGCGGAGGUGGCAUUGGCGAGGCGACGAUGGUCACGCCUGCAGACCCACGCCCCUGCAGCCCCUGACCAUCCCGCGGCGAGGCUGACCCGACAAAAAAAGGCGAAAACAAAUACGAGAAAAAAUCUAUAUCUAUCUGUUUAUCCCCAGAAUACACGCCCCGUCCCCUCACGCGGCUCCCCGACCCGCCACUCAGCAAAACUACCCGCCACUCACCAACCACCUCCAUUUCCUCCCUCUAAUUCCACCUCGACCUCAAGAUCUCAGUGAUGGAGUUUCGCCCCCGGCCGCUGCCUUCCCUUGGCGCUGAUGGUAUCUUGUUCAAAUCGGCCCACACUCCUCCUUAUCUCUAUUCCUCAUCGAUUCGCAUUUAUUUCACCCCUGAUAAAUGUAACGUAGAUUGUACUGUACUGCGCCUGACUAAUGCUUAAAGUUAAUCCGCCCUGGAAAAAAUGGGCUUGUCGAAACGAAUUGGUCAUGUUGAGGCGAAAACACUACGGCGACGAACUCUCUUGCGUCUUGGUGUUAGGCAGAGGUCCUCAGUGAUCGCCUUGAUAACGAGUGAUUUGUGUUGUGUCCUCUCAGCCACGUCCUUCGCCUCCACCACCACCACCACUACUACUACCUGGAAGACUCAUAUACGUCACAGCGGGUUAAUGAGGUACUGUUGUGUGCGCCAUAACACAAACAGACUCAGCUCAAGGAGGCAUCAGUACGUGGAUACUUUCAAGGCUAACACGAGGUGAGAAACGCGAGGACGCUGGCGACACGCGCACGCACACACGCACACACGCCUGGGAGGACCUCACAUCAAGGAACCGACGACUAAACUGGGAUCAUUUUGCUGAUGGCUCUGGCGACGCAUAAAUGGCAUUCCUUCUGUUAUGGGCGCGGGAGAGGACAGCGGUGGACGGCCCAGCACAGAGAGAGCGUGUGGAAUGGAGUGGGGUGGAGUGGGAGCAGUUGAAGAGCCCGAUGCUGCGUGGAGUGUGAUGGGAAGGGAUGGACAAGAGGAAGAGAAGGAGAACGUGGAGGAGACGCCAAAAUGUUGAGUAGUAGUAGUAGUAGUGGUGGUGGUGGUGGUGGUGGUGGUGGUGGUGGUGGUGGUGGUAUAAUACUCUAGGCCCAGGGUUCGUUUCCUCAUUAUUCUGUAACUACAUAGUGAAUGGGGUGA